UCAGGGAUCAUCGACUUAGUUUUAUUACUAAAUGGGCCAUUGUAUUAAGACGAUGUAGUAUCUCAGUAGUAUCCAACUUGCAUCCUGCAUUCGUCAUAUGUUGUUGCUUAAGAACUUUUUAAUACACUGAAUUAUAGCUGAUAACUGCUUACAUCUGGUGUCAAGCUACACUUCUACUGGGCGUCCUGAGCAAGAGUGGAAACUGCCAGGAAAGGCUGGCGGAUGGAAAACUGAGCUGGGGGAGUUUGGCAUCGGCCAUGAAAAAAGAAGAUUGGAGUGAAGAUGGCUGGUGUUUGAAUUUAACAUUCCACUUGUAUGAGACAGGAAACCGCAUCUUUCGUAAUGAGUGCCCUCGUUGGAGGAGUCACACUGACCCCAGAGAGGUGACUCAGUGGACAUGAUGAGCUGCUUUUGGAAUGCAGAGUCCACCAUCUUGGCAGGAUGACUCUGGGCUGUGGUGCUUGUCCCAAACAGCACAGAGGCCAUCGCUGUGUGGGUGUCGACCACAGAAAGGGCACCAAAACAAAAUCUUGGCUAAUCAGUUUAUUUGUUCUGUUAAUUCAGUAAUCCAGUUUUUUCAGGUUGAGUAAACGCAGUGUCCUGCCCCCUCCUCUCUGGCUAUAAUCAGUCAAGAAACCACAUGAUUUGCCAAGUACCAAGUAUUGCGAUUUCUUCUGGCUUGAGUGAGUGUGAGCACACAUUGUUUUAUCAGACCAAAGGAGACUUUAAAGCAGCCCCCUAGUUUCUCAGUAACUGUUUAUGUAAAAUACUAUUAGAGUGAACCAGAUGCUGCAGUUUGGUAAAUCUAGAAGAAUGUGUGCCACCCCCCAAUUAAAAAA